GGAAGGAUAGAUUUUUCUAAAAUCUGUUCUACAAUAGGGUCGCAAGCCAUAAGCCGCAAGAAAUUAACCAAUCAUAGUCAAUUAUUUGUUUCAUAUUCAACUGUGAU